CCUACGGGAGGCUGCAGUCGAGAAUCAUUCACAAUGGGGGAAACCCUGAUGGUGCGACGCCGCGUGGGGGAAUGAAGGUCUUCGGAUUGUAAACCCCUGUCAUGUGGGAGCAAAUUAAAAAGAUAGUACCACAAGAGGAAGAGACGGCUAACUCUGUGCCAGCAGCCGCGGUAAUAGAGAGGUCUCAAGCGUUGUUCGGAAUCACUGGGCGUAAGGCGUGCGGAGGCUGUUUCGUAAGUCGUGUGUGAAAGGCGCGGGCUCAACCCGCGGACGGCACAUGAUACUGCGAGACUAGAGUAAUGGAGGGGGAACCGGAAUUCUCGGUGUAGCAGUGAAAUGCGUAGAUAUCGAGAGGAACACUCGUGCGAAGGCGGGUUCCUGGACAUUAACUGACGCUGAGGCACGAAGGCCAGGGGAGCGAAAGGGAUUAGAUACCCCUGUAGUC
rnacentral:rRNA from 1 species